rnacentral:lncRNA from 1 species
UUUUAUUUUUUCUAGUAACUGCAAAAGUUUUUUUUUUUUAUCUUUUUUCUAGAAUUUUAUGUAACUUAUUACCUUAAGUAUUUAUAAGAGUAGUUAGGUAUUUGUGGUAUAUAGCUUAUUCUAGACAUAUAAUAUUUACCAAAAGCUUUUUCUAAUAUGAUUUUUCUUAUAUCUGCUACUUUUAUAUUUCUAAGUGCAUACAAAAUAAGUAUCUUGAAUUUAUCUACCAUCACAUCAGAUAUAUUAUCAUUCAUUUUUCAUAAAUUUGCUUUUUUCAAAAUAUUCCCUUCAAUCACGUACACAACAAAAUAUGGUCAUAUUGGCUUACUAUAUACUAGAUUAUUCUUAAAUAAUAUGUUCUUCUGUCACUAUUAACAUGGUAAUCUGGAUACUUUUUCCCUUAAACAGCGCCUCUACUCUGGUUACUCCCCGCCACGGCUUCUUGCCUCAAUGGUUUCACCUUUAGGAUGGCAUAGUCCUUAGGGAUAUUUCUCCGUUUCCUCUUUGUUAAUAAACUUCUUAACAUAUUAUUCUUCGAAUAAUUCUACUAUAAAGUAACUAAUAUGAAUUAUUUUAUCAUAUCAUGAUUGUUGGGAAUUAUGAAAUUAGCUAUUCAUAAUUAUAAAUAGAUAUACCUGUUCCGGUAGCUUUGAUGUUUCUGAGUUUUGUUGUUCCAUAGCUUUUUCCAUUGGAGUAUAUUUUUCUAAUUAACUGAGUAAAAUUUUUUGUUUGUGGAAUGGAGAGAGAGAUUUGUUUCAAAAGAAGGCUUG